rnacentral:lncRNA from 1 species
AAGAAUACGUGGCGAAAAAUCUCAAUGUAUGGAAUAACUGUUUUUUUUUUUUUUUUAAUCGUCGGGUUUAGGCUCUUCCAAAAAGAGAAUCUUAAUGAUGGCACAUAAAUUGUAUGACGUUGUUGCAGUGUCAAAAACAUGUGGUGUUUUCGUAGAGUGUACUUUCACUAAUAGCACACACUAUGCUAUAAUUAAUAAACUUCAAGUGUUGGUAAUAAUAAUACACACUUUCUUCCUUGGCAUUGAUUCCCUACUGGAUGUAUCAACUCCUUUUGACCUUGUAUCAAUGCCAUUUAACUUACGUAUUCGUUAUUUAUCUGAUGAAGAGAUACACGAACUCUUUUGAACACAAUCAAACUUACCUAUAAUCACUCCCAGCACCAUAAAGAUAUAAGUCAAUAAAACAGUUUAAAUUUUUACAUAUCUGUAUGUGAAAUUUAAGUGGAAGCAUUUAUUUUUAGAGUGUAACGGAUAUUAUUUAUAAUCAUGUAUUAAUGUUUAAUACGAAAACCAUUUAUUAUUGAAUAUUUGGAGUGAUAGCACUUUUUAACAUACGAAAAAGUUUAAAUGAAAAUAAUUUUUUAGUUUUCAUUUUUAUUUUCUUAAUGAUUUUAGAAUGGAUAGUAUAAACCAUUCGCAAGUAUUUUCUGUUCCUUGUAGAAAAAUAAAAAAGUUUACGACGGAAACUAAACAAGACAUAUUGAUGAUAUAUAUAUAUU